CGGACGGGUGAGUAACGCGUGAGAAUCUGCCUUCAGGAUGGGGACAACAGUUAGAAAUGACUGCUAAUACCCAAUGUGCCGCAAGGUGAAAGUUUUUCGCCUGAAGAGGAGCUCGCGUCCGAUUAGCUAGUUGGGGUGGUAAAAGCGCACCAAGGCGACGAUCGGUAGCUGGUCUGAGAGGAUGAGCAGCCACACUGGGACUGAGACACGGCCCAGACUCCUACGGGAGGCAGCAGUGGGGAAUUUUCCGCAAUGGGCGCAAGCCUGACGGAGCAAUACCGCGUGAGGGAGGAAGGCUUUUGGGUUGUAAACCUCUUUUCUCAAGGAAGAAGCACUGACGGUACUUGAGGAAUCAGCAUCGGCUAACUCCGUGCCAGCAGCCGCGGUAAUACGGAGGAUGCAAGCGUUAUCCGGAAUUAUUGGGCGUAAAGCGUCCGCAGGUGGUACAUCAAGUCUGCUGUCAAAGACUAGGGCUUAACCCUGGAGCGGCAGUGGAAACUGAUGAACUAGAGUACGGUAGGGGUAGAGGGAAUUCCCAGUGUAGCGGUGAAAUGCGUAGAGAUUGGGAAGAACACCAGUGGCGAAGGCGCUCUACUGGACCUGUACUGACACUCAGGGACGAAAGCUAGGGGAGCGAAAGGGAUUAGAUACCCCUGUAGUC
rnacentral:rRNA from 1 species